rnacentral:rRNA from 1 species
AGAGUUUGAUCCUGGCUCAGGACGAACGCUGGCGGCGUGCCUAAUACAUGCAAGUCGAGCGAGCUUGCCUAGAUGAUUUUAGUGCUUGCACUAAAUGAAACUAGAUACAAGCGAGCGGCGGACGGGUGAGUAACACGUGGGUAACCUGCCCAAGAGACUGGGAUAACACCUGGAAACAGAUGCUAAUACCGGAUAACAACACUAGACGCAUGUCUAGAGUUUGAAAGAUGGUUCUGCUAUCACUCUUGGAUGGACCUGCGGUGCAUUAGCUAGUUGGUAAGGUAACGGCUUACCAAGGCAAUGAUGCAUAGCCGAGUUGAGAGACUGAUCGGCCACAUUGGGACUGAGACACGGCCAAAACUCCUACGGGAGGCAGCAGUAGGGAAUCUUCCACAAUGGACGAAAGUCUGAUGGAGCAACGCCGCGUGAGUGAAGAAGGGUUUCGGCUCGUAAAGCUCUGUUGGUAGUGAAGAAAGAUAGAGGUAGUAACUGGCCUUUAUUUGACGGUAAUUACUUAGAAAGUCACGGCUAACUACGUGCCAGCAGCCGCGGUAAUACGUAGGUGGCAAGCGUUGUCCGGAUUUAUUGGGCGUAAAGCGAGUGCAGGCGGUUCAAUAAGUCUGAUGUGAAAGCCUUCGGCUCAACCGGAGAAUUGCAUCAGAAACUGUUGAACUUGAGUGCAGAAGAGGAGAGUGGAACUCCAUGUGUAGCGGUGGAAUGCGUAGAUAUAUGGAAGAACACCAGUGGCGAAGGCGGCUCUCUGGUCUGCAACUGACGCUGAGGCUCGAAAGCAUGGGUAGCGAACAGGAUUAGAUACCCUGGUAGUCCAUGCCGUAAACGAUGAGUGCUAAGUGUUGGGGAAGUUUUCCGCCUCUCAGUGCUGCAGCUAACGCAUUAAGC